UGCAAAAUAGGGACACGGCACAGUCUUCAGCUACCAGUGAUGUCCUGUGGGAAUAGACGCUCUGAAUAGAGUAUGUACUGAGUAAUAGUUAAGAUCUUAGAGGUGAAAGAAACAUUUGAUGUCACCUAAUUUAGCUCCCUUAUUUAUUGUUUUUUAAGAAAGAGUCCUUUGUAUUGGGGCCCAGUGAAAUUGAAUAAUUUAUUCAAAGUGAUACAGAUAGGUGACGUUGGUUCUAGGCUCUCCUCCAGUCUGCUGGCACCUCUACUGUCCCUCUCUUUCCUUUAACAGCUGCUGCUAAUGAUAACUUUCUGUACCUAACCCUUGCAAAGUGCUCAGAACUUUGUGGUAAAGGUUCCAUCUUGCCUGGCUCCCUAGAAGAUGAUUAAAAUCCUUAAUAUGCCUUUUUACGUCUUGAAUUCCAUUUUUGGUGGAAUCAAAGUGGUCUAUGGCUCCUUAUAACACAACAUGACAAAUAAUAAUGAGGAUUGAUGUCAUGAUGAUGACGACAAAAUAAUACUUAAGAAGCAUUUAGAACAAUGUUUGGCUCCAAUGCAGUCAAUUAAUAUUAAGUAUUAUAAUCUAAUUUAAACAUUAAAAUGACCUUCUGAAAUCCAUCAUAGUAUUAUUCCCUACUUUACAGUUGCUUUUAGUGAGGCACAGAGAUUUAUAUACCUUUCUCAAGGGCUUACAGCUCAUAAGAGGCAGCUCUGUCACUGAACAGAGGGGCUACAUUCUUAGCUGCUCUAUUAACACUACCAAAAACAUGAUAAUAGUCUGAAGAUUUUAAUAAAUCAUGACAAGGAAGGAAUGAAAGCCGUUGGGAGCCCUUCUGAAACUGCUGAGAAGUAUUUACGGAUAAUUUUUCAGAUUUUUUAUUUGCCUUUUUCUGGCUUAUUUAAUUGCAAUGCAGAAUCCCCAGAGUGAAUCAUAUUUAUUCUGCAACCACAGAUAUCAAAGUAUCCUCCCAUCAAAGUUCGGUGCUGGGAAGAAAUGUUUGCUUCCCAGAAUCCCAGCUCCGCAUCUCGGCUUGUUUCAAAGAUGCCUUCCCCAUUACUGAGAAGCCUCCACCCAUUCCCUCCGCCACACACCUACAACCCAACUCAGACAAUCCAAGGCAGAAAAGCUGGAUUCCCGGUACUCAGAAGCAAGCCCAAGCAAGACACCUUUCCACUCAACACUUAAAAUUCUCUAACAAGCAAGAUGGUUUCAAGGGAUAUAGGAAGCAGAUCCCCAACCAGCGACUUGCCUCCUGCACCAUUUGGAUUCCCCCUGCUUACGGGGCGGAAGUCUGUUCUCUGCAGCUGCUCUAGAGUCAUGUUCAACAACAACCACAAAGGCCUUGAGUGAGCCAGCAGCAGAUGUGAUGCCCAGGAUUCCACUGGAGAAGACAGAGGCAUCACAUCUCUCAUGCCUAAAGCUAAUUAUUCAUAGCAUCUAACUUUAGGAUGUUUCCAGCCCAUGGAAAUCAUUAUCAGAGGAUGUGGUAGAGAAGGAAAAAGAAACAAAACCAAAAAACAAAAUAGCAUUGCUGUCAGAUUUUUUCACUCAUGGUCAACAUGACCCUAACGUUUGCAACCUUACCAGGAUAAAAAGAUGGCGCUCAAGAACCAUGAGCUUCAACGAAUUUGGUAGAAGGGCGCAGAAAGGGUUGACAUAUCUUCCAUCUUCUAAUGUGGAACUACUUUUGAUUUCACAGAAGUAUCAUUAUCAGUAAGCUAUAAAAUCAUAUUGCCACAUUUUAGGGAAAAGAUAAGUCAUAGUAAGGCUUUCCUUCCUAUUAUCUUGGUGAUUUAGGAGGUAAUUUUGAAAUUGACUAGUAGACUGAGCUCAGCCAGUCAAGGUCUUAUGUAGCAAUCAACUACUUGCCAAUAGAGCUUAUCGGUGUUGUAUUUUUCAUGUAUCAUCAAGUAUCAGGAUGCUUCCAUCAUCUGGUAACUCAGCACAUUCCUAAGAAGAAUCAGAUUCCCAAGAAGCAGUAGUAUAUGAAUGAUUCUUCCCCUACCACCACUACAAAAAAUAAUAAUAAUAAUUAAAAAAAAAAUAAAGAUGACCCAAACUUUUAGGAAGGGAACUACUUUCCUCAGAGAACUUUGGCAGUACAACACCAAUCCAUUCUGCCUUUAAAGUUGAUGCUGUCGAUAGACACUAUCAGAAUCAACUCAUCAGAUUACCCAAGAAAUUAAAAACAAGACUCUACACGUGUGCUGGAGAUAUGUAAUGAUGAUGUGCCUUUUGAGGUCUUGAUGAGCAAUCUAUUUUUGCACAAACAUAUCCAGGGGCUAACUAGCUUCCUAACAAGAAACUGAAAGGCUAGGUCUAGAAACAUUUUCUGAAGACAAUAAAAGUUAAUAAUUAUGAAUAAGAUAAUGCCAGAAUUCUUUCUGCCCAUGGAAGGAAGAGGCAAAGAUCCAUGGAGUAGCUACAACCUGCCAAUCAUUUGCCAGUUUCAUUCAAUUAUAUAUUUAAUUUCAAAAUUACAACAAUAACAUGAGAUGGACAUAUAUAUAUACACACACAUAUAUAUAUGUGUGUGUGUGUAUAUAUAUGUAUUUUUUAUAAAUGAAGAAAACAGGAUUUAACAAUUUCAACGAACUUGCUCACAAUCACAUAGCUCUUAAGUAGCAAAGCCAGGGUUAGGCCAGGUGUGUCUGGCCCCAAAAUCUUAGAUUCUUUCACACAUACCAUCCCCUCUCC